UAUUUCUAAGGGUUGUUUUCAUAGUUGGUCCUUGACAGAAAGAUUGUAUUGCUAAUCAAGGAUAUGGAUAUUUUUGGUUGAUUGUUCAUAUACAACAGGUGGAGAAAGAAAAAAGUAAGUAGAAUGAAUUUAAGGAAAGGUAGGGUAAGAAUAUUAUGUCUUCGGAACAAGGUGGUGGGCAACAAUAAGGUGAUCAAAAUGGUAGUAAAUACACAAUUAAGAGUGGGGGAGUU
rnacentral:lncRNA from 1 species